rnacentral:rRNA from 1 species
GACGAACGCUGGCGGCGUGCUUAACACAUGCAAGUCGAACGGAAAGGCCCUGCUUUUGUGGGGUGCUCGAGUGGCGAACGGGUGAGUAACACGUGAGUAACCUGCCCUUGACUUUGGGAUAACUUCAGGAAACUGGGGCUAAUACCGGAUAGGAGCUCCUGCUGCAUGGUGGGGGUUGGAAAGUUUCGGCGGUUGGGGAUGGACUCGCGGCUUAUCAGCUUGUUGGUGGGGUAGUGGCUUACCAAGGCUUUGACGGGUAGCCGGCCUGAGAGGGUGACCGGCCACAUUGGGACUGAGAUACGGCCCAGACUCCUACGGGAGGCAGCAGUGGGGAAUAUUGCACAAUGGGCGGAAGCCUGAUGCAGCAACGCCGCGUGCGGGAUGACGGCCUUCGGGUUGUAAACCGCUUUCGCCUGUGACGAAGCGUGAGUGACGGUAAUGGGUAAAGAAGCACCGGCUAACUACGUGCCAGCAGCCGCGGUGAUACGUAGGGUGCGAGCGUUGUCCGGAUUUAUUGGGCGUAAAGGGCUCGUAGGUGGUUGAUCGCGUCGGAAGUGUAGUCUUGGGGCUUAACCCUGAGCGUGCUUUCGAUACGGGUUGACUUGAGGAAGGUAGGGGAGAAUGGAAUUCCUGGUGGAGCGGUGGAAUGCGCAGAUAUCAGGAGGAACACCAGUGGCGAAGGCGGUUCUCUGGGCCUUUCCUGACGCUGAGGAGCGAAAGCGCGGGGAGCGGACAGGCUUAGAUACCCUGGUAGUCCACGCUGUAAACGGUGGGUACUAGGUGUGGGGUCCAUUCCACGGGUUCCGUGCCGUAGCUAACGCUUUAAGUACCCCGCCUGGGGAGUACGGCCGCAAGGCUAAAACUCAAAGGAAUUGACGGGGCCCCGCACAAGCGGCGGAGCAUGCGGAUUAAUUCGAUGCAACGCGUAGAACCUUACCCGGGUUUGACAUGGAUCGGGAGCGCUCAGAGAUGGGUGUGCCUCUUUUGGGGUCGGUUCACAGGUGGUGCAUGGCUGUCGUCAGCUCGUGUCGUGAGAUGUUGGGUUAAGUCCCGCAACGAGCACAACCCUUGUUCACUGUUGCCAGCACGUUAUGGUGGGGACUCAGUGGAGACCGCCGGGGUCAACUCGGAGGAAGGUGGGGAUGACGUCAAGUCAUCAUGCCCCUUAUGUCCAGGGCUUCACGCAUGCUACAAUGGCUGGUACAGAGAGUGGCGAGCCUGUGAGGGUGAGCGAAUCUCGGAAAGCCGGUCUCAGUUCGGAUUGGGGUCUGCAACUCGACCUCAUGAAGUCGGAGUCGCUAGUAAUCGCAGAUCAGCAACGCUGCGGUGAAUACGUUCCCGGG